rnacentral:rRNA from 1 species
UAUCUCUGUAGAGUCUGCAUAUCAAUAAGCGGAGGAAAAGAAACUAACAAGGAUUCCCUUAGUAACGGCGAGUGAAGCGGGAAGAGCUCAAACUUGAAAUCUUCAAGGUUUUACCUUGACGAAUUGUAGUUUAAAGAAGUGUUUUCUGUUGAAGUUUGGUAAAAGUUCUUUGGAAAUAGGACAUCAUAGAGGGUGAGAAUCCCGUAUUUGACCAGUUAUUUUCCAGCUGUGUGAUACACUUUCAAAGAGUCGGAUUGUUUGGGAAUGCAGUCCAAAAUGGGUGGUAAAUUUCAUCUAAAGCUAAAUACUGGCGAGAGACCGAUAGCGAACAAGUACCGUGAGGGAAAGAUGAAAAGAACUUUGAAAAGAGAGUUAAACAGUACGUGAAAUUGUCAAAAGGGAAGCGUUUGACACCAGUGUUGUUUUCUCGAAAAUCAAUUAAAAAAUGCUUGAUUUUGUGUUGUAUUGACCUUAAAAGCUUUCUUCACUUUUUUCAUGUCUUUUUAAUGCACUUUUCGUUUAACAAGUCAACAUCAGUUUCUUUUGUUGUAAAAAGGUCAUUGGAAGGUGGCUUUCUUUUCGGAGAAAGUGUUUAUAGCCUUUGACUCCUGCAAUCGGAGAGACUGAGGUCUGCAGCGUAGAUCCUUCUUGGAUUAGAUUCAUUUGUGCUAAGUUAUAGCUUUUUAUAGACAACAUUGUUGACUAUAUUUAGUCUUGUAGCUUACUCGCUUAUGCUAAUUUUACCUACGCUUAGGAUGUUGAACGCGCACAGAGUCUC